rnacentral:rRNA from 1 species
AGAGUUUGAUCCUGGCUCAGGACAAACGCUGGCGGUGUGCCUAACACAUGCAAGUCGAACGGAGAAUUCUAAAGAGUUUACUCGGAGGGAUUUUUAGUGGCGGACGGGUGAGUAACGCGUGGGUAACCUACCCAUCAAGUCGGGACAACCCUUGGAAACGAGGGCUAAUACCGGAUAAGCUCGGGAAGUGGCAUCACUGCCCGAGAAAAGGCGGCCUCUGAAGAUGCUGCCGAUGAUGGAUGGACCCGCGUCUGAUUAGCUAGUUGGUGGGGUAAAGGCCUACCAAGGCGACGAUCAGUAGCCGGCCUGAGAGGGUGAACGGCCACACUGGGACUGAGACACGGCCCAGACUCCUACGGGAGGCAGUAGUGGGGAAUCUUCCGCAAUGGACGAAAGUCUGACGGAGCAACGCCGCGUGUAUGAUGAAGGUCUUCGGAUUGU